rnacentral:tRNA from 1 species
GGGGCUGAAUGGGGUACUGGUGUCCUCCACAGUCUUCAAAACUGCUUGAGACCUGCGUGCCAGGUCUGGUGGGUUCGAUUCCUACGCAGUCCCGCCA